rnacentral:rRNA from 1 species
UACAGAGGGUGCAAGCGUUAAUCGGAAUUACUGGGCGUAAAGCGUGCGUAGACGGUUAUGUAAGUCAGAUGUGAAAGCCCCGGGCUUAACCUGGGAAUGGCAUUUGAGACUGCAUAGCUAGGGUGCGGAAGAGGGAAGCGGAAUUUCCGGUGUAGCGGUGAAAUGCGUAGAUAUCUGGAGGAACACCGGUGGCGAAGGCGGCAUCCUGGACCGGCAUUGACGCUGAGGCGCGAAAGCCAGGGGAGCAAACGGG